UGGUCAGCUGGAGCCUUUUUGCCGCCCUGUCGCUGCUGUCCGAGUGGCCUGUUUCUAUAUGCAAUGAAGGACACAUGUUUGCAUGAGCUUUGCAUACCGUAAUAUGUGUGUGUGUGUGUCUGAGUGUGUGUGUGUAAACCGCUUCCUUGGACCGCUCGUAGAUUUUCAGGGCAUUGACAGCUGUGCCUACUCGGAUGUAAGUCCUGUUGUGCGCAUGGGAAUUUACUCCGAGGUAAAGUGUGUGCAGGAGUGCAAUCGAAAUGCAAUGGGCACCGAGCUCCUAGAAGUGAGCUUCCUCUUCAAGGGGAAGCCUCAGCUGAGUGCCACAUUAGCCUUAAUCCAGGCAAGCCGCUUCUUCAUGAGGUUGGCUCCUUAGGUGGAUGUCCUCUAGCCACACCAGGCAAGCGUCCAUGGGGAGUGCACAGCUUGGCGAGCCUGACAUGAUUUCAGGGCUGAGUUUUGACAUAGCUUGUCUCCCUGCCUGUCAAGCCGCCUCUUCCUAUGGGACGGCUCAUCUUAGUCUUCGAGGUGAUUGCCGCUUGGCAAGCCAGCCCUUCACAGGCGAUACCUGGGGCCUCGGGAAGAGCAAGUGCCCAAAGCGUGGGGAGGAAAAGGAAAGGAAGCUCACCCCACACACAGGAGCAGGGCCUACAGGGUUGCUGCUGUGAGGGAAGUCCCUCGAGGAAGGGUCCCUGAAGGAGAAAAGGUGGCUUCCUCUUCGUGUGUGAAAAGGACAAGCCUCCCGGCAGUCCAACUGUUCCUCGGUAUUCUUAUCAAGGCAAGGAAGCCCAUCCCUUAGUGGGGAUGGCUCUGGCUUGCAGGGGUGCCAGGGAAGCUUCCCCUCCAUGGCGACACCUCAGUGCAGUUCUAGUUUGGCAUCAUGUGUGGCAAGUGACCUGGUCAUGAGGAUGGAUCAGUCUAGUUCUCAAUUAGAUGUUUGGCAGGCGCUGCGCACUUCCCCACAUUUGGUGAGGGGCGACCCCCUUUGAAAAGAGCCUCGGCCUCACCUACCCUACAGGGUUGCCGCUGUGAGGAUAAAAGAGCUCGGCUGGCUGCCUUGGCUUCCUAACCAAAGGAAAAGGGCCCACUUUAAAUGCAGUGUCCUAAUGAUGACCACAACACUGCUCUGAGACUGCUCUCCUCCCAGUCCCCUCGUGGGCCAAGCAUCUCUGCUGCAAGGAGGGAGGUGCAACUGGCAAUACAGCCCUUGCCCCAGUCUAUGGCGAUUGGCCCCUCAAUGCCACAGCCCUGCAGUUCCCCGUGCUUGGGAAGCCACAACCUGCUUUGAGGAUCGUCUUUGUCUUUGUAAGUGCUGGGCAAGACGUGCUUCUCCACUUUGAUGGCAGCCUCAGUCAGUGGGGGCAAGGGUUGACACUUCCUUGUUGCAACAGGAACUGCUGACUCCCAUCCCUGAUGACCUUUGUGCUACGCAUCCUGCCGAGACAGGUCUCCAUGAAAGCGCUCGCCCCGUUAAACUCAAAGUGGAAAAGGGGGUCCGGCUUCCCUGCGUGGCAUAGUACCUGCUUCCCGGCAGGCCGCAGAGGGCAUUUGUCCAGUGAUAGGAUGGCUCUUUGGCUCGGGGCAUUGUGGUUUGCACCACUAGCCGCUCUGACACUCCUGUGUUGCCCAUCGAGCAAGCAAGAAAGAAAGAGUCUGACUGUUUUGAAAGCCUGACUCGGAGCUCGGUGUCCUUUGCCCGUCUGGUGUGGUCACCUGCCCUCCCAAAUGCGGCCCUCGAUCAGAAGUGGCUCUACUGAGCCGGUGGGGCUCCCUCACUCAGAGCACACCUGGACCCAUCCGUAGGGGUUGGUCUGUGUCCCCUGCUGCAUUUGUCCCGCCAGGUGGUGCCUGUAACUGGGUGGCACGCACGGCCCGAGCGGCGACAGCAAGAAUUUUUUGUGUGCAGCAUGUAUUCAUUCAACGCAUGUGGUGCCCCACUAGUCACAGGCUCUCUGGGCAGCCUGCCUCGUGCUAAACUGCAAGCAUGAUAGAACCGUGCAAAGCACAAUGUAACGCUUACAAGCCCAAGGACCAAUAAUACUAAAACCCGUGAAUAAAUCAGCAGAGCUCGAUCGUAGGAAAAUAGGAUGAAGAAGUCACCGAUCUAUCUAUAUUUGUGCAUCUUUAGAAGCCCCUCCUAAAAUACAACUUCAGCAGUUAGAACUGGUGAAGUAUUGCGCCUUUAAGUCAUGUCACAUUGGCAGCAGCAUAAAAUUUUUUAAAAAGCGAGGAGGUGGAGUGUUGCCGGUGUUGUCCCAUGGGUCUUCCUUAUGCCAGGGAACAGUCCUCUUCACGGGGAUGCCAUGUGACAUGGAUGCCUGGCAAGCUGCCUUCCUAGGGAAGCAGCUCCCUUAAGUUCUGGCUGAGCUUCAUGCGUUUCCAGCCCCUCCUCUUCAUGGGGACAAUUGAGCUUGGGGGCCCUUUGCAGUUUUGGCCGGUAGCUGUCCCCUUCAAGGGGAUGGAGUAGGGCCCCAGCUGUGGGAUGGCUCGCAGCCAAGCCAGGCCAGCAUCCUCUUCAGUGGGGAUGAACAAAGGGAGUUUGGCUUUGACUGGGGGCUGGCAAGCCAGCUCCCUCUUGGGGUCAGCUCUGGCUGAAACCAGGGGCAGCCACUCAGAGCAAGCGUCCCCUUCAUGGGGAAGUCUUUGCUUAGCCCCGAAAUCGUGCCCGCAAGCCAGCUCUCCCCAGGCGUGGCUCAGGGUAGGAACUGGCCAGGUUCAUGCUAGGCAAGCCAGCCCUUCACGGGCAAUCCACCUUAGUCAGACAUGAGGGACAGUUUGCCUGCUUUUGCUGGGAUGCGCCUUCUGAUGCUUGUCCUCCCUUUAACUUUCCCCUGCCCAAGUGUGACAUUCCUGUCCGGCUGUGGACCUAAGGAACGACCAAAGCAUGACUUGGCGUCUUCUGAUGCUCAGCAGCUCCUCAUGGGAAAUGACAAUGUUGAAGUGUGACACGUGCUUUGGGGAUGUUGGACCGGCUUACAAGAGUUUUGCUUUUGAAAUUUACAAUGAAAACACUGUUUUCCUGUACCUUGGUGUAGCUGUCAGUAAUAAAUGCAUCAGAGGCGGUCAGAAGAAGAAAGAGAGAAGGAGGCAUGUACUGGUUUUGGAUGCAUCAGGAUAACGGGCAUCUCCACCGCAACGUCACUGGAAGGAAGAUCACAUGAGUCAAAGCGGGAAGCGCCUCGCGGAGAGGGAGCAGAGGGGUGGAGGCGUUCCCCGGCACCGGAGUCCAGCCAACCGAACGGACUGGCCUGCCUCCACCAUGAGUAACAAUCUGCUGCUAGCGAUGCAGUGAGGGAGGCACCCCGAGGGGCACUCAUUCUGACUGGGGAAGUAUAGACUUGGGUAAAUCCAGUCUCUCCGCAUUUGGUGGGUUCGUCACAUCAUGCUCUAACUGAUACAACUGGAUUUUCACAAAUGUGUUGAGACACGUUUGCACGCAUUUACUUUUGCACUUCCCGAGAAGUUCAAAUCCCUCCAAAAUGCAUUUUCAUGCUUUAGUUGAUGGGGGUAAAUGUACACUUGCAGGUGGUGGGUUUUAUGUUUUGUAUUCUUCUGUGAUUAAAUUUGUAGAAAAUUAUGGGGGAAAGGCCCUGAAGUCCCUGAAAUCUGCACACCUGAGGAAAAGUUGGUCCACUGUGAAAUUUGAGGGUCAGAUUGAUAGAACUCUGGACUCAUCUGAGUGCACUGUAGAUUUGUCCAAUAUUCCUAAUUAUGAAACAAUAAAUGAGAAACCCCUUCUCAAUAAAAGGAGACAGGUAUCAAUAAGUCAGUUCUUACCUUGAUGUG